AUGAACGCUGGCGGCGUGCCUAAUACAUGCAAGUCGAGCGAACAGACGAGGAGCUUGCUCCUCUGACGUUAGCGGCGGACGGGUGAGUAACACGUGGAUAACCUACCUAUAAGACUGGGAUAACUUAGGGAAACCGGAGCUAAUACCGGAUAAUAUAUUGAACCGCAUGGUUCAAUAGUGAAAGACGGCUUUGCUGUCACUUAUAGAUGGAUCCGCGCCGCAUUAGCUAGUUGGUAAGGUAACGGCUUACCAAGGCAACGAUGCGUAGCCGACCUGAGAGGGUGAUCGGCCACACUGGAACUGAGACACGGUCCAGACUCCUACGGGAGGCAGCAGUAGGGAAUCUUCCGCAAUGGGCGAAAGCCUGACGGAGCAACGCCGCGUGAGUGAUGAAGGUCUUCGGAUCGUAAAACUCUGUUAUUAGGGAAGAACAAAUGUGUAAGUAACUAUGCACGUCUUGACGGUACCUAAUCAGAAAGCCACGGCUAACUACGUG
rnacentral:rRNA from 1 species